rnacentral:rRNA from 1 species
UAAGGAAUAUUGGACAAUGCCCGCAAGGGUGAUCCAGCCAUGCCGCGUGCAGGAAGACGGCCCUAUGGGUUGUAAACUGCUUUUACACCGGAGAAAACCUUCCCUCGUGAGGGGAGCUGAUAGUAUGGUGAGAAUAAGCAUCGGCUAACUUCGUGCCAGCAGCCGCGGUAAGACGAAGGAUGCAAGCGUUAUCCGGAUUCAUUGGGUUUAAAGGGAGCGUAGGCGGCCUGGUAAGUCAGUGGUGAAAUCUCGCAGCUUAACUGCGAAACUGCCAUUGAUACUGCUAGGCUAGAGUACAGAUGCUGUGGGCGGAAUAUGACAUGUAGUGGUGAAAUACAUAGAGAUGUCAUAGAACACCGAUUGCGAAGGCAGCUCACAAAACUGUAACUGACGCUGAGGCUCGAAAGUGUGGGGAUCAAACAG